GCAUCCGUAGCUCAACUGGAUAGAGCAAUUGCCUUCUAAGCAAUAGGUCGGGGGUUCGAGUCCCUCCGGAUGCACCA
rnacentral:tRNA from 1 species